UGCUGCUUGUGUUCUUGCAAAAUGAAUGGC
rnacentral:piRNA from 1 species